rnacentral:tRNA from 1 species
GCCGGGUUGGUGGAAUCGGCAGACACGGCGCCCUCAAAAGGCGUUGCCCUCUGGGCGUGCGGGUUCAAGUCCCGCACCCGGCACCA